UACGUAGGGACCAAGCGUUGUUCGGAUUUACUGGGCGUAAAGGGCGCGUAGGCGGCGUGUUAAGUCAGCUGUGAAAUCUCCGAGCUUAACUCGGAACGGUCAGCUGAUACUGAUGUGCUAGAGUGCAGAAGGGGCAAUCGGAAUUCUUGGUGUAGCGGUGAAAUGCGUAGAGAUGUGGAGGAACACCAGUGGCGAAGGCGACUCUUUGGCCUGUAACUGACGCUGAGGCGCGAAAGCGUGGGGAGCAAACAGGG
rnacentral:rRNA from 1 species